GAAUUUUAUAUUUUAAUAUGUAAUAAUACAUAAUUAAAAUAUUUUAUUGGGAGGAUAUUUAAAUUUAAUAAACUUUAAUUAUUAAUAACAUGGAUGAAUGAAAAUUAAAAAAAAUAUUAAUAUUUAAGAAUAAAUGAAUAAUUAUGUAGUAAUUAUUAAAGAAUUAAUUACCUUAGGGAUAACAGCAUAAUAUUUUUUUGUAGUUCAUAUAUAAAAAAAUGCUUGU
rnacentral:rRNA from 1 species